rnacentral:rRNA from 1 species
AUUGAACGCUGGCGGCAUGCCUUACACAUGCAAGUCGAACGGUAACAGGCUAAGCUGACGAGUGGCGAACGGGUGAGUAAUAUAUCGGAACGUGCCCAGUCGUGGGGGAUAACGUAGCGAAAGCUACGCUAAUACCGCAUACGAUCUACGGAUGAAAGCGGGGGAUCGCAAGACCUCGCGCGAUUGGAGCGGCCGAUAUCAGAUUAGGUUGUUGGUGAGGUAAAAGCUCACCAAGCCUGCGAUCUGUAGCUGGUCUGAGAGGACGACCAGCCACACUGGAACUGAGACACGGUCCAGACUCCUACGGGAGGCAGCAGUGGGGAAUUUUGGACAAUGGGCGAAAGCCUGAUCCAGCAAUGCCGCGUGCAGGAUGAAGGCCUUCGGGUUGUAAACUGCUUUUGUACGGAACGAAACGGUGAGCUCUAAUACAGUUUGCUAAUGACGGUACCGUAAGAAUAAGCACCGGCUAACUACGUGCCAGCCGCCGCGGUAA